CAGCCCAAACUAUGACAGAAGACGUAAUUCUCCAUGUAGAAACUAGGAAGAGGAUUUCUCUGAAACAAGUUCUAUGGACCUUGUAGCAUGGUGUGAUCAACGAACUCAAAUACUAAGCAUCCCAGAACUGCAAGAAAAAGAGACGUGGAACGAUCCCCUCUCCAGUAAUAAGGCUCAGCCUGGUCACUCAGGUUCCAGGGAGUUUCUGAAAGCACGUGUCUCCCCACGCCUCAGCUGCAGCAUCCAAAAAGUG